UAUUGUGGAGAGACAAAAGUCAGAUACUUUGACUUCUAUAAAUCACUGAAAUGUUGGCAACUGAAACAAACUUUUUGAAGGCAGAUGACUGCAAAUUUGAAGGAAACCUUCAUAUUUUACUGUUAAAAGCCUUUUAACUGUCUGGAGAGCACUCUGAGACACUACAUUAAUAGCCAUUCUCAGUAAUCAAGCUCCACUGUACUUACAUACUAUUUUUCCUAAACAAGAUAGAUGAGUCGUAGAAGAGAGCUGGAAAGAUAAAUAAGGAACAUCAAGAACUAUAUUAUAAUAAUACAGUUUCAUUUUACAUUUCAUAGCUGUCUUCUAUAUUUGUAAUUGAUAAUUCAUCUUAAUUCCUAUCAGACAGAAAUACUGGCACAAGAGUCUUAUACCAAUAUCCGUGCAUUUCUGGACUAGUCUUCAUCCAGAUGCUUUGCAGAUUUCCUUACUGAUUUUGUGAAGAUGUGAUCUGUCAAUCUUUGGUACUUGUAUGACUUUGAUUACUGUAAUAUCUGAGUGCCUCACAGUAUUCCAUAUAUUUAUGCCUGCAGCACCACUUUGAAAUAAUAAUAUCUCGUUAUCUCCAUAUCUUCUGAGGCAUGGAAAGGCUAAAUGACUGGCCCCAUGUUGGGAAACCUGGGAUGAUUCAGAAAACCUGGAUUUCACUAAUCCAUACUGAUGCUCUCGGCUCUAAGUCAUCCUCCCUCUGCAGUGAAAAUGAUAGGUGUCUCAAAAAGCACAUAACCCAGUCCCACAGCUUAGGACAGAAAGUGGCAAAAGCAGAAUCCAACUGCAUCUACGGGAGGCAUCUGGGGAGGAAGAAUGCAAUCACUCAAUUUGGUUCCAGUCCAGGGCUCAAUGCUUUAAAACCUUCCAGCUGAAAUGUGCCACAGCCACUCAAUGACCUCGUGCAGAAACAUAAACGUUAACAUUUCCACCAAAACACGGACUGUGGGAUGCUUUCCCUCCUCCUCACUGUGUUGGAUUUCUGCAUCAGAGAUCACCACGAGACACAAGCCCAGGAGGAAAAACAUGACAGAUUCUUCCACUGGAAGACCAAGAACCACAGCACUGAAUAUUCCAAGAAAGACUGAAUUCCAAAAAAACAGCUCUGCUAUUACAAAUCCAAAAGCAAACUUGACCCUGUUUUGAUACCAGCCUCUCUCUGCAAUGAAAGUAGUUGUAUCCUUGUAAAGAUAAAGAUUUUUACUUUGUGGAAGUAAUUUGAUUGUAACCUUGGUUGCUUUGCUGUCUGUAUUACUCCUUUUUCUCUUGCACAAAGUUUAGUGUCGUACUGUGAAUCUUUAAGAGAUUGUGAAGGCUUGUGAAGUUUUUAAAAAAUCAUCUCUGAGCUCCUGUUUGAAAAAGGUAUUUUGAAUCUACAACUGAAGGUGGGGUGGGUUUUUUUGUUGUUGUUGUUGUUGGCUUGAUGGGGAUUUUUAACAUCCAAUAGAAUAUUGUUUAAGAGGGAGAGAUCUCAAAGGUCAGGGAAUAAGUCCCCAGUUUAUGCGCUGAGGGCAACAGCAGGUAUUUUUAUGGCAUUUGAAUGUUGAAGGGAGUUGUCAGAGUUGGAUGCUGCAGAGAUACCUCAUUGCUCCCUUAAACUGUGUCUGAAAUUUCCUUGUAUUUUAUAGUACAUGAGUUAUGCUCUUGGCUGCCAUUUCCUUCCUUCAGACUCCCAAAGGUAAGUGGAUUGUGCCCUCUGGGGGCUCUCUACUGCUCUAACUUAGAUUUAAGGGUGGUGUUUUUUUCUUGUU